rnacentral:lncRNA from 9 species
UUUUUUUUUUUUUUUUUUAAAGUAGAUCCCCAGACCCUGUCUAAGACCUAAUAAAUUAGAUUCUCUGGGCUAGGGCUUGAGAAUAUGCAUUUUUCAGUAGCUAUUCAAGGGAUUGGUCCUGAAAUUAAGAGUUUAAGAAACACUAAGGGGAGAAACUGGAGUGAAGAAACUUCCAGAAGGAAAGAAACUUCCUGGAGGGAAGAAGCUGCAUUACUCAUCUUUGUAAACCAAGCUCUGGAGAUUCCAACAGCUGUUUAGUGUAUUUAGCAAAAGGCCACACCCAGGCUGGGGGGAAGGGAGGAGGAACUAAUACUGUGGAGCAGUCCUCUGAACAAGGCUUUUGUAUGUCUAACUUAAUCCUUUCAACCAAUUUAAGAAAUUGUGGCUGUGGUGUAACCAGCAGGGCCCUAAAAAGUGAGAAACAUAGCUUGUUUAUUGAUAGUUUCUGAGAGAAAACGGACAUCACCCAUCUUGUCCAAUUCAUCUGGGAAAACCUGAACUAAUUUUCUUUAGGCUAAGCAAAAAACAAUGAAUAAACUUAUUUUAAGUCAGUCUUUGUAACCAUUUGUGAAAUCAUUUAAGUAACUCCUAAUGACUGUGUUUAAAAGCAAUGUGGAUUAUUUGACAGUCUCCUUCUAAACCACUCAUAAGAAUAUAUGCACUUGGAGUUCCCCUUGUGGGGAAAUGAAUCCAACUUGUAUCCAUGGGAAUUCAGAUUCGAUCUUAAUUUGUGUGUCGGGGAUCCAGUGUUGCUGUGAGCUGUUGUGUAGGUUGCAGUCAUGCCUUAGUCCAUAUGCCACAAGUGUGGCCCUAAAAAGCAAAAAAAAAAAAAAAAAAAAAAAAGGAAGCAUAUAUGCACUGGAGUUCCUGCUGUGACUGCAGUGGGUUAAGAAUCUGACUUCAUUGGCUAGGGUCACUGCAGAGGCACGGGUUUUAUCCUCAGCACAGAGCACUGGAUUAAAGGAUCUGGCAGCCCAGUGCACUAGGUUAAAGGAUCUGGUGUUGCCACAGCAGUGGCUUAGGUAGCAGCUGCAGCUCAGAUGCAAUCCCUGGCCUGGAAACUUCCACAUACAGUGGGCCUAAGAAAACAAAACAAAACAAAAAACUAAAAAUCACAUCUUCAACCAGACAAAGCAGCCUGAGGGCCAGAACAAUGCCUUUCCACUUUGUAUCCUCAAGGCCUGGAAUAAACACUUGAUAAAUGGAAGAGGAAGCCUGCCUAGUCCCAAAAAUCCUGAUUAGGUCUCCAGAUAUUAUAAUGCCAAAGACUGACUCUUAGCCUUCAAUUGCUACUUUUACAAGUUAACCUGAUUUUGAAGCUACUCUUUGAUCUUAGCAAUUUCCCACAUAGCAAUCUGGUAACUGGAACAUUUUACAAAUUAAAAUACACAAAUGAUUUGAAACUCUGCUCUUAUUAAAAAGAACAAAAUAAUGCCAUUUGCAGCAACAUGGAUGGAACUAGAGAUCAUCAUAGUAAGUUAGAGAAAGACAAAUGCCUUAUGAUCUCCCAUACAUGUGGAUUCUAAAAUAUGACACAGAAUGGAGUUCUCAUCCAGGCACAGUAGAAACAAAUCUGACUAGGAACCAUGAGGUUUCGGGUUCGAUCCCUGGCCUCGCUCAGUGGGUUAAGGAUCCAGCGUUGCAAUGAGCUGUGGUAUAGGUCGCAGACACGGCUUGGAUCUGGUGUUGCUGUGGCUGUGGUGUAGACUGGCAGCUGUAGCUCCAAUUAGACCUCUAAACUGGGAACCUCCAUAUGCCUCAGGUGCAACCCUAAAAAGACAAAAUACAAAAAAAUUUUAAAAAUAUGACACAGGAGUUCCUGUCAUGGCUCAGUGGUUAGAGAAUCCAACUAGUAUCCAUGAGGACAAAGGUUUGAUCCCUGGCCUCACUCAGUGGAUUAAAGAUCUGGUGUCGCCAUGAGCCGUGGUGUAGGGCAGACGCGGCUCAGAUCCCACUUUAGUGUAGGCCGGCAGCUACAACUCUGAUUCAACCCCUAGCCUGGGAACUUUCAUAUGCUGAAGGUGUGGCCCUGAAAAGACUAAAAUAAAUAAAUAAAAUAAGAUAAAACAUGACACAGGAAGGGUUCCCAUUGUGGCUCAGCGGUAACAAAUCUAACUAGAAUCCAUGAGGAUGCCAAGUUCGAUCCCUGGCCUUGCUCAGUGGGUUAAGGAUCAGGUGUUGCCAUGAGCUGUGGUAUAAGUCACAGACGAGGCUCACUGUGGUGUAGGCUGGCAGCUGUAGCUACUAUUUGACCCCUAUCCUGGGAACCGUCAUGUGCCACCAGUGGGGCCCUAAAAAGACAAAAUAAAUAAAUAAAAUAAAAUGUGACACAGGAGUUCCUUGGUGGCUCAGUGGGUUAAGGAGCCAACAUUGUCACUGCUAUGGUUCAAUUCCUGGCCCUGGAACUUCUGUGCCAUGGUACAGCCAAAAAACCAACAAGGGCCUACUGAAUAGCAUAGGGAACUAUAUUCAACACGUGAGAUGAGCCAUAGUGGAAAAGAAUAUUUAAAAAAAUGGGAGUUCCCUUUGUGGCUCAGCAGAAAUGAACCUGACUAGUAUCGAUGAGAAUGCGGGUUCAAUCCCUGGCCUCACUCAGUAGAAUAAGUGCUGUGAGCUUGUGGUGUAGGUUACAGACUCAGCUUGGAUCUGGUGUUGCUGCGGCUGUAGUGAAGGCCGUCAGGAAGCUGCAGCUCUGUUUGGACUCCUAGCCUGGAAACUUCCAUAUGCUAUGGGUUUAGCCCUUAAAAAAAAAAAAGGAUGAAAAGUUAUGUAUAACGAAAUCACUUUGUUGUACAGCAGAAGUGAACACAUUGUAAAUCAACUAUAUUACAAUCAAAAAGAAAACCUGAAAAAAAUAAUUCUUUUAACUUUAAGAUUUUUUAAAUGUCCAAAAUUUAUAUCAUUCCCUGAUAAUCAUUUCACGAUGUAUGUAAGUCAAAUCAUUAUGCUGUAAUCUUAAACUUGUACAGUGCUGUAUGUCAAUUAUAACUGGAUGAAACUGGAAGGUAAAAAGAAAAAACCCCAAAUUCUCCUUUUAUACCAUCAUUGUAAACUUCCCAUCCAGUAAGCUUUCAACUACAGCUAAAAUUUUGUUUACCUGUCCUCUCUCUCUAGGAUAAAGGAGCCUAGGAAGAAAAAAAUAGUCCCUGACAAAAAAAUAAUGUCUCAGCAGUCUAAUACACUUUCUAGUACUCUGAACAAGGAAACAAACCUAGAUUUUUCACAUCGUGCAGGCUCAGGUCAUUUGAAGGGCAAUGGUGACUGGAGAAGCUAAAUAGAGCAUCACACAUCCCUCAAACUUUUCAGGAUCCUGGAAGGCAAGAAACUAAGAAAAGAACUCUAACAAGUCAGGUUUCUUUCUGUUUGAAAAGCCCAGGGAGUUUCCAUUGUGGCUCAGCACGUUCCGAACCCCACUCAUACCCAUGAGGAUUCGGGUUUGAUCCCUGGCCUCACGCUGGGGGUUUAGGAUCCUGUAGCUCCAGUUUGACCCCUCAGCCUGGGAAAGUCCAUAUGCAACAGGUGGGGGCCCUAAAAAGAAAAAUAAAAAAGAGGAAGAAGGAAUAGAAGAAGAAGAAACGCCCAGAACCUGUUGAUAAGGAAGGAUUCCUAAUCUUGGAAGGGUUAGAUAUUUUCUGCACCCACUCCCUGCUGCUGUCCCCUCAGAUAUUCUGUCCCCUGGCAGAAGUUCCCAGGCCUGGGAUAGAACCCUGGCCACAGCAGUAAUCAGAGCCCCAGCAGUGACAACAAGGGAUCCUUAACCCAGGGAGGUAUGGGGGAGCUUCCAGAUAUUCUUUACUGCUAUUAUUACUAUAAUUAUUUAAGAUGAUUCAUUCUGUAUUAUCUUUGCCAGCUUCGUUUCCUUCACGGAGAAGCACCGCGAUUCAUCCCAGCCUAGACGGUACCUGGAAGGAAGGCCUUCUUCCAUUUGGUGGCUCUGGUGGUCAUGAAGGUGCUGCAGGAGGAAGAAAGCCUGGGAGACAUGGGAGGCAGGGUCAAGAACACCAUUUGAUUAUUAUUUGAGCUGACCUCGGGCCCAGCCUUCCUGAAUAUUCUCUUUUCUGAAGAGGCCUGCAAGAAGACAGGCCUGACUAUAAACCCAAAUGAGCCCCUGCAGCCUGAAGACCCUCCGGCAAAGAAAAGCAGAGGUGAUUUGAGGCCUGGUGGGGAAGAGAAAGAAACUGCUGAGAGACUAAAUGCCGAGGUCCAUCCGCAUUCUUGGAAGCCAGAGGAAGCAGGCUGGAGACACCCGGGAGGCCCAGAGAGGAGUCUGGACCCCACAGUGAACCAGCUGAGGGCUUCACGGAACCUUUCAUCAGACCCCCAGGGACUCCAGCUCGAAACAAACACAUAAUCAAAACGUUUCCCUCCCUUCCAAAUAUCCAAAGCCCUUAGGCUCCUCAGCUCCCCAGACCUGGAAGGAAGCCGGGCGCUUACUGCCAAGGUACCGUCUCCAGUCACCCCCACCCCCACCUGCACCCGGAACUUUGUACCCCAAGGGAGUGCAGCCUUUAAAAAAAAAAAAGAAAGUUCCUGUUUUAACCAAAAAUGAAGCAGUUGCUCUUUCUCCUUCCUCCCCUGGGACAAGAAGCCCUUGAGUCCCCUCCAGAGUCCAGAUGCAAGGAGAGCGCUACUCCACCCCCAGUUUCCAACUCCCAGCAAGGCGAAUGGCCCCGACCGGCUCAACAGGUCCCUGGAAAGGACUUGCCCUCCCCAGGCAUCCACAGCUGAGGCCGGAGGAAGGAAGGGGAGGGGUGGGCAGGGGGGCUGGCCUGCUUUCCCCCUCCCACAACACUGGGGCCACCCUGAGGGCGGGCAGAGGGCCGGUCUGGAGGAGGAGGGAGCUGGAUUCAUAAACAAACCCGCCAGGGCCACGAGGUGCCCAGAGGAGCGGGUGGGGUUUGCUGGCCUCUGAGGCC